AUGAACGCUAGCUACAGGCUUAACACAUGCAAGUCGAGGGGCAGCGGGAUUGAAGCUCGCUUCAAUUGCCGGCGACCGGCGCACGGGUGAGUAACGCGUAUCCAACCUUCCGUACACUCAGGGAUAGCCUUUCGAAAGAAAGAUUAAUACCUGAUGGUAUGAUGAGAUUGCAUGAUAGCAUCAUUAAAGAUUUAUCGGUGAUGGAUGGGGAUGCGUCUGAUUAGCUUGUUGGCGGGGUAACGGCCCACCAAGGCGACGAUCAGUAGGGGUUCUGAGAGGAAGGUCCCCCACAUUGGAACUGAGACACGGUCCAAACUCCUACGGGAGGCAGCAGUGAGGAAUAUUGGUCAAUGGACGAGAGUCUGAACCAGCCAAGUAGCGUGCAGGAUGACGGCCCUAUGGGUUGUAAACUGCUUUUAUAAGGGAAUAAAGUGGGAGUCGUGACUCUUUUUGCAUGUACCUUAUGAAUAAGGACCGGCUAAUUCCGUG
rnacentral:rRNA from 1 species